rnacentral:rRNA from 1 species
UGCCAGCCGCCGCGGUAAUACGUAUGUCGCAAGCGUUAUCCGGAAUUAUUGGGCGUAAAGCGAGUCUAGGCGGCUUGUUAAGUCAGAUGUGAAAAUGCGGGGCUCAACUCCGUAUUGCGUUUGAAACUGGCAAGCUAGAGUACUGGAGAGGUGGGCGGAACUACAAGUGUAGAGGUGAAAUUCGUAGAUAUUUGUAGGAAUGCCGAUGGGGAAGCCAGCCCACUGGACAGAUACUGACGCUAAAGCGCGAAAGCGUGGGUAGCAAACAGGAUUAGCUA